rnacentral:lncRNA from 1 species
CCAACCCCUAGGAGGAGGGGGUCAGAGAAGGACACUAGAUAGUCUCCAACCCCUAGGAGGAGGGGGUCAGAGAAGGACACUAGAUAGUCUCCAACCCCUAGGAGGAGGGGGUCAGAGAAGGACACUAGAUAGUCUCCAACCCCUAGGAGGAGGGGGUCAGAGAAGGAAACUAGAUAGUCUCCAACCCCUAGGAGGAGGGGGUCAGAGAAGGAAACUAGAUAGCAUAUCUCAAUCCUGGUAAUCAGUUAUGCUUUGCAAUAGGUCUAUCACAUUUACUCCUUCCUGGAUGUACUGCUCUAGAAGCUUUACAAAAGGCUAGUGACCUCCAAAAGGCUGUAGGUCUAUCACAUUUACUCCUUCCUGGAUGUACUGAUCUAGAAGCUAUACAAAAGGCUAGUGACCUCCA